GACGAACGCUGGCGGCGUGCUUAACACAUGCAAGUCGAACGGAAAGGCCCUGCUUUUGUGGGGUGCUCGAGUGGCGAACGGGUGAGUAACACGUGAGUAACCUGCCCCUGACUUUGGGAUAACUUCAGGAAACUGGGGCUAAUACCGGAUAGGAGCUCCUGCUGCAUGGUGGGGGUUGGAAAGUUUCGGCGGUUGGGGAUGGUCUCGCGGCUUAUCAGCUUGUUGGUGGGGUAGUGGCUUACCAAGGCUUUGACGGGUAGCCGGCCUGGGAGGGUGACCGGCCACAUUGGGACUGAGAUACGGCCCAGACUCCUACGGGAGGCAGCAGGGGGGAAUAUUGCACAAUGGGCGGAAGCCUGAUGCAGCAACGCCGCGUGCGGGAUGACGGCCUUCGGGUUGUAAACCGCUUUCGCCUGUGACGAAGCGUGAGUGACGGUAAUGGGUAAAGAAGCACCGGCUAACUACGUG
rnacentral:rRNA from 1 species